GUGAGGAAUAUUGGUCAAUGGGCGAAAGCCUGAACCCGCCAUGUCGCGUGAAGGAUGAAGGUCCUAUGGAUUGUAAACUUCUUUUGCAGGAGGGUAAAGUGAGCUACGUGUAGUUCAUUGCAAGUACCCUGCGAAUAAGCAUCGACUAACUCCGUGCCAGCAGCCGCGGUAAUACGGAGGAUGCGAGCGUUAUCCGGAUUUAUUGGGUUUAAAGGGUGCGUAGGCGGACUAAUUAGUCAGCGGUGAAAUUUUGCGGCUCAACCGUAAAACUGCCGUUGAAACUGUUAGUCUUGAGUGCGGUAGAGGUAGGCGGAAUGUGUGGUGUAGCGGUGAAAUGCUUAGAUAUCACACAGAACACCGAUUGCGUAGGCAGCUUACUGGAGCGCAACUGACGCUGAGGCACGAAAGCGUGGGGAUCGAACAGGAUUAGAAACCCCGGUAGUCC
rnacentral:rRNA from 1 species